rnacentral:rRNA from 1 species
CCUACGGGAGGCAGCAGUAGGGAAUCUUCCGCAAUGGACGAAAGUCUGACGGAGCAACGCCGCGUGAGUGAUGAAGGUUUUCGGAUCGUAAAGCUCUGUUGUUAGGGAAGAACAAGUGCCGUUCAAAUAGGGCGGCACCUUGACGGUACCUAACCAGAAAGCCACGGCUAACUACGUGCCAGCAGCCGCGGUAAUACGUAGGUGGCAAGCGUUGUCCGGAAUUAUUGGGCGUAAAGGGCUCGCAGGCGGUUUCUUAAGUCUGAUGUGAAAGCCCCCGGCUCAACCGGGGAGGGUCAUUGGAAACUGGGGAACUUGAGUGCAGAAGAGGAGAGUGGAAUUCCACGUGUAGCGGUGAAAUGCGUAGAGAUGUGGAGGAACACCAGUGGCGAAGGCGACUCUCUGGUCUGUAACUGACGCUGAGGAGCGAAAGCGUGGGGAGCGAACAGGAUUAGAUACCCUGGUAGUCCACGCCGUAAACGAUGAGUGCUAAGUGUUAGGGGGUUUCCGCCCCUUAGUGCUGCAGCUAACGCAUUAAGCACUCCGCCUGGGGAGUACGGUCGCAAGACUGAAACUCAAAGGAAUUGACGG